CUGCCUUUCUUCCGCGCCUGAUAACUUUUUUUCCCCCCCGAGUUACUUUGGUGCGCGCCGUGUCGUAAAACAAGCGCUCGUUUCCCUCGGCGCUUGCAGAGGAGAGCGAGCCACUUUGCUGUUAUAUCAAGAGGGACAAACUGCCUGUUUGUUCAAAGGAAAUACUUGGCAGCCAAAGGUGUUGAGGAGGCGGAUCUGUCUGAACGAAAAAGAUGCAUCACUCACACACUCAGUUCAUUUGUUGGGGAGAAUUUGUCACAAACGGAAGUCGAGGGCGGACCCAAAUGCACGACUCGGGUGACAGGCAAGCGGUAAGGAGAAAGUCUUUAUUCAUUUCAGAGUCGGUAACCGAGGAGUCAAUCAGCACAAACAGCAGGAACAGGAGCGACAGGCUUACAAGGUAGGUCAGGAGACAGACGUGGGUCAGUACACGGGAGGUUGGCGUCAGGAAUGCGGAAACGAGGCGACGAUCUGGUGAAGACCAGUCGUCCCCUGGGUCCUAUAGUACCAGGGUUAAUCAGCAGAGAUGAGGCGCAGGUGUGCGCCUCCUAAUCAUCGUCGGUCCGCUGGGACACGCCCAGCCUGGAACGGCAGGGCCAUGACAGUACCCCCCCCCCCCAACGGCCGGCUCCAGACGGCCCAGAAGCUUCGGGAUGGGCCGCGUGGAAGUCACUGAUGAGGGUGGGGUCAACAAUUAAGCGGGAGGGGAUCCAGAACGCUCCUCCGGGCCAUACGCCUCCCAAUCCACCAGGUACUGGACCUCCUAAAAAAGGAGCGAUUCGUCUGGCGUCCAAAACAGCCGGAAAUUGUCAACGGAAGUCACCGUGUUGACAACUAGUCGCCAUCUUGUCGAUAUUCUUUGUUUGUUUCCGUGAGUAGGCAUUUCACUUCGUCUUCGUUACGACGUAGCGUAGUUCUUUCAUCGAUCCAACUUGUAUCACGGGGAAGUGCAUUUUUCAAGAAGCUUUGGUUGAAAGUAAGGAGUUCGGGAGCUGGGUUCGUCGAGAUCCAAAAGAUCGGCACAUGUUUUCCUGCCAUCUGUAAGCAAGCAGAGUUACCAGCUUGAAAAGAUGGCCGUCAAAGCGCUGGAGUCGCAGCGGAAAAACAGGAGACACACUGAUUUGGCGAAGACUCUCUCAUCUUCCAUUGAUAUGAAUCUGUUUCUAAUAGAGCAUCAACUUCAGGCAGUGGUACUAGCACUGCAAGCGCACUAGGGAUCGCAAAAAAACGCUUACUUUCAUAACCGUUUUUAACCGAACAGCUGUAGCAAAAAAAAAAAAAAAACGAUUAACCGGUUUUAAAACCGGUACCAUUGUGGUGUUUACAUAAUUCACCCGCGGUACCUCGAGUUGGGGUGCGGGUGGGUUCCGCACGGACUGUUUUUGUUGUUGCUCUUCCGGAGUGACGAGAUCACAGAGUUCCCCCCGUUAUGCGAGUAGUGUUUUGAUGUCUGCCAAUAAAACAAGUUUUGUUCCUGUGUCCGACACUCCGCCUCCGACUCCUUUUCUCCGCCGCUACACCAUCGAUCGUUAAUUUGCUCCACGGUAAUGGGGUCGUUUGUAUACAAUAUUGCCAAACAAGCUUGUUGAAUGUGACUUUCAACAACGCACUCGUGUAAGUUAAAUUUGUGUUAUUUUUUUUGGUAAAAAUGUUUUAAUGUUGACAUUCUUCUUUCGAACUUUCAGAAAGGGCAUGAAAGUAUACCGAGCGUUUCCUCGAUGCCAUGUUUGAUGUUUCUUUGAUAUAACUGAAUGUUUUUUUGAGUCCAACUUUACUCUAACAGCGAAACUUGAAAAAAGUGGAAAUGAUGUUGAAAAAAUGCCGCAAUGUGGAGUACCGGAACCGGAAGAAAUGAUUGGAAAUUUUAACCGAUUUCGAAAGUCCGAUUACGGUUUCGUUAAAAAAAAAAAAAAAAGGUUAUAACCGGUUAUUUGUAACCAGUUGCGAUCCCUAAUGCGCACCUACAGUUGUCCAGCCAUCGACUUCAACCAGCCAGAAGUCAGGCUUUAAGAACGUAAUUCAAUACACGAAGACGGACUCGUUAAAGCCAGAGAUCGUGUGGACUUUAAAAGUGAUCUGCAGCCAUUACAGUUAGAAAUCUUGUGAAAAUAAUUCAAAAGUGUUUGCAGUCAUGUUCCCAGACAGUGACAUUGCUAAAAACUACCACUGUGGGGAAAGGAAGACUUUGUACCUGGCUACAUUUGUCAUCGCUGCCCACUUUUCAUCUCUACUGCCUCAAAACCAAAAAAGCCAGAAUAGAGACUGACAUAUCAACGCUUAUUGAGAAGGCUGACAGGCUGUGUGAGGAGGCAGAAGAAAAGAGGAAUCUGAGGUUUAUCACCAAGGCCAAUGCACUCAGAGGCAGAGCAAAGGACGAGAGAGCCACUUUGGCACCUGUGCAGCAACAAAUAGAGGAGGCACUGGGAAGGCUCAAGGAGCUCGACUCGUAGGGGUGCUGAGACAGACAUCAGUAGAAGACAUUUGUGUAUAUAGUUGCAAUUGUAGUUGGAACCUGUUUUUCUGUAUACUGUUAUGUGAAGACGUUGACAAUGGUCAUAUCAAUGAGAACUACCACAAGGUAGCCCAGUGACGAAAUCCACGGAGAUAUGUGACCAGGGACGCGAGGGAAUCAGCAGUGGCCGCAACUCCCCCACUGGUCACAGGCGGGAAGUCUUGUUGGCCAUGCAUACUGGGCAGGCAUUGACUUAAUCCCUCACAUCCCUACCCAGGUUUGCCCACCAGAACCGCUACUCGACGACAGAGCAUGUCUUGGUCAUGCCCGGGUGGCAGACAGUCUUGUUGGUGUGCGUCCAGUCAAUGACGUGUCCCCGUAGUGACAGGACAACAAACAUGCGGCCAGGAGGACAUCCGGCUGGACUUGGCACUUGCGAGUCCUCCAGCCAAUGUCGCCACUCUUCCAUCGCUGUCUUGACCGCCAGCAGUUCGCGGUCACCCACGUCAUAGUUAUGCUCAGCCAGGGUCAGUCUUUUUGAAAGGAAGAAGCACGGGUGAAUCCUACCGUUCUUUGCGCACCUCUGGGAUAGAACUGCUCCUAUCUAUCUAUCUAUCCUAUAGAUGCGUCAACCUCGACCCCAAAUUGCCGGUCCGGGUCUGGCAUUAUGAGGAUCGGCGCGGUGGUAAAGCUCGCCUUGAGCCUGUCGAAGGCCUCCUGACAGGUCCUGGUCCACUCGAAGGUGCAGAGGAGCGCUGAUGGAACUGAAGUUCCGGAUGAACUUAGGGUUGAAGUUCGCGAACCCGAUGAACCUCUGCACGUCCUUCUGACAAGAGGGAGUAGGCCAUUGAAGGACCGCGUCGAUCUUCCUGGGAUCCAUUCGAAUCUCCCCUUCUUCCAGGAUGAACCCCAGGAAAGACACGGAGCGUCAGUGGAACUCCCACUUCUCCACGUUCACGUACAGCUGAUGCUGCAGCAGCUGCUGAAAGACCUCCCCGACAUGUCUGAUGCGGGAGGUCAGGUCUGAGGAAAAAAUCAGGAUAUCGUCGAGGUACACAAAAACGUUUCUAUUCAGUCUUACCUGGAGCACAUCGUUAAUAAAGUUCUGGAAAACAGCAGGUGUGUUCGUCAACCCAAAUGUUUGGAACGGCAGGGCCAUGACAGAAUUAGCUUUUUGUGCACUGUAUUGUCUGUGCCAAGGUGGAAUUUUAACAUUAUACCCCAUCUCAUCCUGUGCUUACUACUUUGGCUUCAGACCAGACCUUUUUUAGUCAAAAAAGAGAAAAAAAAGGUUUCACCACUUUUUCUUCUAUUAUUCACAUACCACGACAUUCAUUAAAGCAACAGCACUUCUACUUUUUUUUUUUUUUUUAACUUUUACCAUUAUUAUCAAGAGUAAACACAAGCAGCAUGCCCUACGUAGCCCAGACUGUGGGUGGACGGUGUUUGUAAUUAUGAGUGUAUGCCCUUAAGACCCAAAGGGGGUGGAGUCAGGUAAAUGAGCAGGAGACCGUGUGGCUCCAUGUUAAAAAAAAAAAUCAGGCUGUGGUUCACUGCACUGGAUUGGUUUUCAUGUGCGCUGAGAAUGUCUAUGUAUUUCGACUUUUCGAAUUUUACGCGCGUGAUUUUUCAUGCUCGACGGUGCAGAUCUGUCAAA